rnacentral:sRNA from 12 species
GACCCUGUUUUCGAAUUGUCACCGUAUGGUGCGCGUUCUAAGCAAACGCUUAGAUAGAAACCAGGGUCGCUU